rnacentral:tRNA from 1 species
GGUGGCGUAGCUCAGUGGUAGAGCAGGGGACUCAUAAGCCCUUGGUCACAAGUUCAAAUCUUGUCGCCACCACCA